CAGCAGCCGCGGUAAUACGUAGGGUGCGAGCGUUAAUCGGAAUUACUGGGCGUAAAGCGUGCGCAGGCGGUUAUGUAAGACAGUUGUGAAAUCCCCGGGCUCAACCUGGGAACUGCAUCUGUGACUGCAUAGCUAGAGUACGGUAGAGGGGGAUGGAAUUCCGCGUGUAGCAGUGAAAUGCGUAGAUAUGCGGAGGAACACCGAUGGCGAGGGCAAUCCCCUGGACCUGUACUGACGCUCAUGCGCGAAAGCGUGGGGAGCAAACAGGAUUAGAUACCCCCGUAGUCCCUGUCUCUUAUAC
rnacentral:rRNA from 1 species